AGAGCUAAUACAUGCAAACAAGUCCCGACCAGCGAUGGAGAGGACGCUUUUAUUGGAUCAAAACCAUUCGCCCGGCUUGCCCGGGCGUCGGCUUGAUGACUCUAGAUAACACCACAGAUCGCACGGUCACAGUACCGGUGACAUAUCCUUCAAAUGUCUGACUUAUCAGCUGUCGAUGGUAGACUCUGUGUCUACCAUGGCGCUCACGGGUGACGGGGAAUCAGGGUUCGAUUCCGGAGAGGGAGCCUGAGAAACGGCUACCACAUCCAAGGAAGGCAGCAGGCACGCAAAUUACCCACUCCCGGCACGGGGAGGUAGUGACAAAAAAUAACGAUACGGGACUCAUCCGAGGCCCCGUAAUCGGAAUGAGAACACCCUAAAUCCUUUAACGAGGAUCUAUUGGAGGGCAAGUCUGGUGCCAGCAGCCGCGGUAAUUCCAGCUCCAAUAGCGUAUAUUAAAGUUGUUGCGGUUAAAAAGCUCGUAGUUGGUUCUGCGUGCCACGCUGUCGGUUCACCGCCUGCCGGUGCAACUGGCAUGCCGUGGCAUGUCCUGUCGGUGGCGGAUAGGCUUCGCGGCGUGCCCUAUGCGGUGACAAGCCGUGUAGGUCGCUGCGCCGCG
rnacentral:rRNA from 1 species